CAAGCACGCGAUUGACCUGUUGGACUCUCUAACAACCUCCACAACUGACUGGCCGUGUAUUCCAACACCUCCCAGCCACUCAUUAACUCCUGAGGUUGUUCUCCUGCAGCUGUAGGAUUCUGCUCAGCCCUCUUGCUGUUAUGGUGAGGUGGUUGCUUCCACCCAAAUCCUGCAGAUCUGGGAAAGGGAAGGCGGCUGGAGGCUGGAGAGGCUCUACAGACAGAGGGGUUAAUGUCAACCUGCCCACCCAGUGUCCAUUCCAGAGUGUGCUGUGCUCCUGUCCCCUUGCCAAGAGGAGACUGAGUGUUAUCCUGCAGUUGGGAGCUUGUGAAGGUCAUUGGUACAGGAUUCGACUCAACACAGAGCAAAAACUGGCAAAAAACUGGAAAACGUGGUGUACAAAUCCCACUCACCCAAGCUGUGUAAAAGAUGUAUCACUCACCCAGGCAUAAUUCCUACCUGGAACACUUACAAAUCCACACCUCCCUGCUACAGAAACAUUCAGCCCGCAGCAGAGCCUGGGCAAGGCGAGCUGGCAGCAGCAGGAGCCCCUGGAGCAGAGGAGGUGGUUCUGGUGGGUGCUCUCAGCUCCUGGGCCAUCGCAAAGGACACUCAAGGAGCUGCAAAGACCUUCCAAGGAGCAGCACCUCGAGCAGACACAGGCAACGCUCCGUGACAGCUGACCUUCGUCCCGGGGAGCUGACACGGCUGGAGAAGGCAGGAGAAUAAAUUUCAACUACUCCCUUACGCUGGUAAUACAAAAUGUUCAGAUGCUUAAAGGUUACGACAAGCGAGCGUCUGGUAAAGAGGUCAGGCUGCCCUGAACGUGCUGCAGAAGCCAAAAUAAAGUCUAGUCAAGCCUAUAUGGAGCAUGAGCACCGAGGCAGGGAAACCAGCGAGGCCUCUCUCUCCCCAGUGGUGGCCCCAGAAAGCAGCGGUGAGGCCGCUGUUAAAAUUAAAGUAUGGCUGAGUAUGAGGAUAUUUGCCUUGGGCAGAUACAUGUUUUGAGAGACCGGGGUCAGUGGCUGUUUUAACCGCGUUGUUUCAUCCCCACUGCCACACUUCCCGAGCUUUCCACUUCAGCGGCAUUUCGAACAGGACACAGGUAUGCCGGUGGCAUUCGGCAUCACACUCUGGAGAGCGCAGUGUGGGGGUGUGUGGUUGUGUGUUUCCUUCUGUCCAUCUGUCUGUCUCAAGGACCAUAAACCAGCAGUGGACAAAGGGGAGGCUCAAAGCCCAGUGCAAACAGAGAGGAGGGAUGAUUGUAGAACCAACAGGACGGAGAGGAAAAGCCAUUUCCUACCACCAGGGAAGAUCAAGUCAUGACAAAAUGAUUUCUUAAUGACAUCUAUAUUUCAGGCUUCCUGUGGAAAAAGAAAGCAGAAGAUGACUUUGCACGAAUCUACACACACAAUAGGCAGUGAACAGUGCACACCUUAUUUUUAAAAAGUUUUAUUUAUUAUUAUUAUCUCACGUGGGAGGCUUUGCUAAGGAUCGGGACCUCAGUGGGUUGCUGGGCAAUAACAAAACACAAACUGCUACAGUUUAUAGCUGAGCCACUGGACAAGUUGCAGCAGGUAAAAGAAGUGGAAAUGAGGUCUAAGUUGGUGGAAGAAUGACCUGAUAAAAUAAACAAGUUAGAAAAAAUGAAGAGACAGUUUUCCCAAAUCUCAUCCAAGAUUGCAAAUGGCCACAACUUGGGAAACCUUCUCCUAACACAUCUUUGAUAUGUUCAGAUGGACUUGGGGAGACUACAAACUACAGGAAUUUUGCAUUUUGGCCACCUCAUUUAAUCCAUUGGCCACAAUGUUUUUGUUUUGGGCUGGGUGUUUUUGUGUCUAGUCAGUUUUACUUCCUUGUGAUGAAGUUCCAGCAAAAUAUUUGUAAACACUUUUUGGUCCAAAGAAAGGCCAAAGCUAUUCAAGCUGCUGUAAGGAUAUGCAAGGUGUUCAGCCACAGGAUGCCACAUCUGGGUUCCCAAUAAGCAAAACUUCUCAGCACUUAUAUCAACCUCCUUUGCACAGGUCUACAGAUAAAAGCAGAGGCAAACAGUGUUGACAAGGAAACAUAUUUCAUCAUGAAGCAUCUUUGCACGUCACCAUGAAAAUUAACUUUAAUUUGUCCAAAUUACGACUCGUUAAUUUUGCACAUGGUACGUGUAGUACAGUGUGCUUGAGGUUUUCAUGGUCAAACAUAUGGCCGUGGUGUGGCUGUACAUGUUGAAAAAUCCUGACUUAAAUAUUUCCACUGAAAAUAAUGGGAACACUCUCAGAGAAAGACAUCAACAUGCAGGAGCCAAAUGUGAUUAAAAGUGCCACUGAAGCUGAGCACGAGCAUGUGCAUGGCUGGCACUGGGAGCUGCCCAACACGGGAAAGGGUGAGGAAUGCUGAACACUGGGCACAGGUCUUCUCUUAAGAGGUUAAGAGAGCAGAGCUAAGGGCGUGUCAGCAUUCACACAAAAAGGGAUUCCCCCCAAUGCACCUCCACAGCAUAAAAGGUAAAGACAUCCUGGAAGAAUCCAGCCAGACAAUUCCAAAUUAUGACUUUUGCAUCGGCAGCUCAGCAGGAUGGAGAGCACAGCAAACACCUCUGGUUCAACACUGUGUUUUCAAAAAACUUUUUAAAAGAAUCUGACAGAUUCCAGAAACAAACUGCGUUAUGACACCUAUAGGACUGUGUUUACAUGAGACUGGAAGCUCUCUGGGGGGCACAGCACAUCUUUUUGUUCUCUGCUUCUGCAUUAUCCAGCACAAUGUGCUUGUCCAUGACUUACCCCAUUUGCCAAAGUAAUGAAAGAAAGGCUAUUUUACAAUAAUAGAAGUUCUUUAUGACAGCAGAAUGAUCCACCACAGACAUACAGCUCCCACUUCAGCUCUGCCUUUACACAACAAUACAUUAAUUAGUAAAUAACACAUUAUAAUUUAUGCUGCAUCAAUGCUACAACACAGACAGAAAGGACACUUGUACUGCUCAGCACCCGGCACAGCUGUACUCAGCAACAGUAAAAAUUUAUGGGACAUGAAGAUAUUUCUGGUUCAAUUUGAGGACUUGAAAGUCUGUCUAUGGUAGACACACACGUGGCAGUCCAGGAUUGUUUCAUGUGUAAAUAUCUGAUUUUCCUGCACGGAAUCUUGGGAGGAUUGUGAUACCACCCAAAUGGGCACAGCCUUGUGCUUUGAGUUAUUAUUACUGAAUUAUUGACACAGUCCUGCAUAUGUGUGCACACAUGGCAAUUCUGCCCCCCUUGUGCUCAGUGAUGAUCUUCCCCUUAACUUCUGUAAUGCAGAAUAGAACCUUUUCACCUUUCCUGAGGGGUACAAGAGCUAAUGUGUAACUCAGAUAACUGAACCAUUCUGACACAGAAAAUGGUAUGAGAAUGGAUGGAGAAACUACAAGAAGAAAAACAUGUAUAAGGUUGGGGGAAUGAUGUGGUAACAUAACAGAAGGCUAUUGUAAUACAAGAUGUUCAAGGAGAAUUUAGGUUUAAAUGUAAAAAACUUAAUUUUGACAUUUGCAUUAAUAAUGUGACAUUUGCAAAUUUCUCAACAUAGCUUUUUAAAAAAAAACAACAAACCCGAACCCUAGAGUAUAGCUAAUGCUCACAGAUGUCUGCUUUCUUAUACUUAAGCAUCAAAUUGCUAUCUCCCCAUGCCAAAGUAUUGCAACAAAUCAGUGAUUACUCAGGACACCCAUAUGCUGAGCAGCCUGGCUACUACGAGCUCCGGCGAAACAGCGGGAACACGGCCCACGUUUUCCCAUCCCUGAAAGCCCAAACCUCUUCUGCCUCAACUAAUCCUGUCUCCCCCCUUUUGGGGGCUGGCCAUCCAAUGCCAUCGAGGGAUACGAGCGGAGAAACGUGCAGGGAGCUCACACUGCUGGGGUGUUGGGUGGGGAUGGUGAGUGUGGAAGGGGAAGGUGGUGAGUGUGGAAGGGGAGGGUGGUGAGUAUGGAUGGGGACAUGUUCUGCUGUGGUUUGUCCCCUCUGGUGAGCCAAGCCUUGGCAUCCCCAUCCUGCGCUCCUGCCCUGCAUCCCUGGGAGCAGUGCUGCAGGACCUGCCCUUGGCCUGCUCUCAGUGUGCGGCCAUUAAAUGCCAUAAAUGAACAAACAUAACCAUGUAAAAAUCGCAGCUAUGGGUUUUGCCUUCCUCCUAACUCCGUCCCUGCCUUUUUAUAUGUUAUUUAAUUUUUUUUUUAUUUAUUAUGUGUGGGGAACACAGCGGCGCUUCCACUGGCGGGGGUCGCUCGUGGGCUCUCCCGGCGCCCCGCAGGAUGCUCGCUGCAGCCAUCAGGGGCUCCCUGCCCCGUUUCCCCCUUAGAGAAGGCCG